GCACUGGUGGUGUAUGGUACACACAAUCCAUGUCUAAGGUCUCAAUGAUUUUGUGUGAUUGAGUCCGGGGUUCGACUCCUCGUCGGUGCA